rnacentral:rRNA from 1 species
AGUCGAGCGGUGAGAGAAGCUUGCUUCUCUUGAGAGUGGCGGACGGGUGAGUAAUGCGUGAGGAUCUGCCGAGCAGUGGGGAAUAACGUAGGGAAACUUACGCUAAUACCGCAUACCUUCUACGGAAGAAAGAGGGGGACCUUCGGGCCUCUCGCUGUUCGAUGAACUCGCGUCGGAUUAGCUGGUUGGUGAGGUAAUGGCUCACCAAGGCGACGAUCCGUAGCUGGUCUGAGAGGACGACCAGCCACACUGGGACUGAGACACGGCCCAGACUCCUACGGGAGGCAGCGGUGGGGAAUAUUGGACAAUGGGCGCAAGCCUGAUCCAGCAAUGCCGCGUGUGUGAAGAAGGCCUUCGGGUUGUAAAGCACUUUAAGCGGGGAGGAAGCGCAGUCAGUUAAUACCUGGUUGCGUUGACGUUACCCGCAGAAUAAGCACCGGCUAACUCUGUGCCAGCAGCCGCGGUAAU